rnacentral:rRNA from 1 species
GUUAGGAAUAUUGGACAAUGGACGCAAGUCUGAUCCAGCCAUGCCGCGUGAGUGAUGAAGGCCUUCGGGUUGUAAAGCUCUUUAGCCGAUGAUUAUAAUGACUGUAGUCGGAAAAUAAGCCCCGGCUAACUUCGUGCCAGCAGCCGCGGUAAUACGAAGGGGGCGAGCGUUAUUCGGAAUCACUGGGCGUAAAGCGUGCGUAGGCGGCUUUGUAAGUAGGGAGUGAAAGCCCAGGGCUCAACCCUGGAAUUGCUCUCAAAACUACAAGACUUGAAUUCGGGAGAGGAUAGCGGAAUUGUCAGUGUAGCAGUGAAAUGCGUAGAUAUUGACAGGAACACCAGUGGCGUAAGCGGCUAUCUGGACCGACAUUGACGCUGAGGCACGAAAGCGUGGGGAUCAAACAGGAUUAGAAACCCUGGUAGUCC